rnacentral:SRP_RNA from 1 species
GCUGGGCAUGGUGGUGCGUGCCUGUAGUCCCAGCUACUCAGGAGGCUGAGGCAGGAGAAUUGCUUGAACCCAGGAGGCGGAGGCUGCAGUGAGCUGAGAUCAGUACCACUGCACUCCAGCCUGGGUGACAGAUCAAGAUUCGGUCUCAA